UACGUAGGGUCCGAGCGUUGUCCGGAAUUACUGGGCGUAAAGAGCUCGUAGGCGGUCUGUCGCGUCUGCUGUGAAAACUCAGGGCUUAACCCUGAGCUUGCAGUGGGUACGGGCAGACUAGAGUGCGGUAGGGGAGACUGGAAUUCCUGGUGUAGCGGUGAAAUGCGCAGAUAUCAGGAGGGAACCACCUGUGGCGAAGGCGGCCCCCUGGGCCGGCCCUGACGACUGGAGACGCGAAGGCGUGGGGAGCGAACGGG
rnacentral:rRNA from 1 species